UACGUAGGGCGCAAGCGUUAUCCGGAAUUAUUGGGCGUAAAGAGCUCGUAGGCGGUUUGUCGCGUCUGCCGUGAAAAUCCGGGGCUCAACCCCGGACUUGCAGUGGGUACGGGCAGGCUAGAGUGUGGUAGGGGAGACUGGAAUUCCUGGUGUAGCGGUGAAAUGCGCAGAUAUCAGGAGGAACACCGAUGGCGAAGGCAGGUCUCUGGGCCACUACUGACGCUGAGAAGCGAAAGCAUGGGGAGCGAACAGG
rnacentral:rRNA from 1 species